rnacentral:rRNA from 1 species
UACAGAGGGGGGCUAGCGUUGUUCGGAAUUACUGGGCGUAAAGGGCGCGUAGGUGGCCUGUUAAGUCGAACGUGAAAUCCCCCAGGCUUAACCUGGGAACUGCAUUCGAGACUGCAUUGCUAGAGUAUGGGAGAGGGAAGUGGAAUUUCCGGUGUAGCGGUGAAAUGCGUAGAUAUCAGGAGGAACACCGAUGGCGAAGGCAGGUCUCUGGGCUGACACUGACGCUCAUGCACGAAAGCGUGGGGAGCAAACAGG